AUACGGAGGGGGUUAGCGUUGUUCGGAAUUACUGGGCGUAAAGCGCACGUAGGCGGACUGGAAAGUUGGGGGUGAAAUCCCGGGGCUCAACCCCGGAACUGCCUCCAAAACUUCCAAUCUAGAGAUCGAGAGAGGUGAGUGGAAUUCCAAGUGUAGAGGUGAAAUUCGUAGAUAUUCGGAGGAACACCAGUGGCGAAGGCGGCUCACUGGCUCGAUACUGACGCUGAGGUGCGAAAGCGUGGGGAGCAAACAGGAUUAGAUACCCUAGUAGUCC
rnacentral:rRNA from 1 species